GGUUUGUUUACAUUUUUGCCGAGAAGCAUGGUAUUUAAAGUUGACGUUGAAUCGUUCGUCUUGGAGAAAGAAAGGCUGAGAAUAUCGGACAGGAAUAAUAUUUGUGUAGAGAUUUGUGAUGUAAUUGAUUGUCAUCUCUCAGAGGAACCAGCUGGAUUCUUGUCUGGUUUAUUUUGGUCCUCUCCUAACCUUGUCGUCAGGUACAUCUGUAAAGGAAAAAACUACAAGUGGACAGCAGAAACUGUACAGGUCACUGGGUCAAAAGAGGAAUGCGAGGCACUACAGGACAAGAUCAAUGAAAAUUUAGGUCAAGAAUUUCCUUCAUAGUGAACCAGAGACCAAAAAAACUGGGAGUUUUUAUUAAUCCUAUUGGAGGAAGCCAAAAUUCUCUGGAUGUAUACAACAAAGUUGUCUACCCUUUGUUUAAAGCAGCAAACAUAAAAUGUGACGUCAAUGUUUCUGAACGACCAAAGCACAUGAUUGACCUGAUAAACUGUUUCGACACAGCUAGUGUUGAUGGAUUAGUAAUAGUAGGAGGUGACGGAAGUUUACUUGAAGUCCUCAACUGUCUCCUGACCCAAGCUCAGAAAGAGGCUGGUUUAGAUUAUGAUCAACCUACCUGUAAACUUAAACAUUUAGAGAUACCAAUCGGCAUCAUACCAACAGGUACAGGAAAUGGAGCAGCUAAAUUUCUUUAUGGCACUCUGGAUUAUGUCACAGCAGCAUUGCAUAUAAUUAGGGGCUGUGUACAGCGGUGGAAAGUUGAUGUCCUUCAGUCUCAUCGCCGUUGCCUGCGGAUUUUUCACGGACAUGAUGUAUGAAAUGGACAGACAAAGGUGGCUGAAAAAAGCAAGAUAUGCAGUUGUACCUUUUUAUAUGGGACUUUUCAAGAAGAAGAGGUUAUUAAAUGUGAAAUUAUCAAUAAUCCCAGGCUUUCUUCAGAGACUGAUGAUAUUGAAGGAACAAUGGAGGAAAUGGAAGACAAGUGAGCAGUUUAAUAUCCUUCUCUGGCGACUUAUUCAACAAUGCAACAGAUUCUACAAUGGAUUUUGUUAAAAUGUCUCAGAGUACAAGAAAAACAGGACUUUUUACUCUUCUGGCUUUCAAAGAAAGCGGCCGCUUGGAAUUCCUAUCUUGUUUCAUGGGAUUUUUAACAAUGACUCGUUCCUUAUUCCAGAAGGACUGUAUAUCUACGCACACAGUAAGGGGAUACAAGGUAAAGCUUCCUGGCUGCAAUGAGAAUUUGGACCAAGAUCCAAGCAUAGCGCGGAUGAAUAAUUUACUUGAUGUUGACGGAGAAAUGAUUGACAUCUAUGAGGGGGAGUUUGAAGUACGGACUCACAUGAAGCUGGCCAAAUUCUACACCUCUCACUGAAAUUUCUGUACAUUUAGAUCUGAUGGCAAUAAAUGGUUAGGCGUUGCUGGAUUGAGACAAUCAUCUAAUAAAAUGUAAUUUUGUACCCAGCUGUUGUUUGAUUAUACUGGAUAACAUUCUAUAUAUGUAUCACAAUAUAUAGCAUCUAUUCCCCAACUGAUUUAACCUAUAUAUGGAACUAUAUAUACACACAUUUUACCUGUAUAUUUAUCAGUCAAUUAUUAUUGUUCAAUCUGAAGCUAUUGUAUAACAAAAUCGUCUUUUUAACGGGAUUGUACAAUUCUGAUUUAUAUUGUUGUAUAAAUAUUUUGUUAUUGAUAUUUUUAAAGAUAUAUAUACAUAUUGCGUAUUUUAGAAAAUCAUUUUGUUGUGAGAUAUGUUUUGUUUAUACUAUGAAUAUAUUUUUGAAGCUAUGAC
rnacentral:misc_RNA from 1 species